AGUGAACGCUGGCGACGUGCUUAACACAUGCAAGUCGAACGAGAACGGGAUAUAGCUUGCUAUAUUUGUCAGCUAAGUGGCGCACGGGUGAGUAAUGUAUAGAUAACCUGCCCUCUAGAAAGGAAUAACAGUUGGAAACGACUGCUAAUGCCCUAUAUGCCUUUAAUACAUAAGUAUGCAAGGGAAACGCUUUAGUGCUAGAGGAUGGGUCUGUAUGGUAUCAGCUUGUUGGUGAGGUAAUGGCUCACCAAGGCUAUGACGCCUAACUGGUUUGAGAGGAUGAUCAGUCACACUGGAACUUAGACACGGUCCAGACUCCUACGGGAGGCAGCAGUGGGGAAUAUUGCACAAUGGACGAAAGUCUGAUGCAGCAACGCCGCGUGGAGGAUGACACAUUUCGGUGCGUAAACUCCUUUUAUAUAGGAAGAUAAUGACGGUACUAUAUGAAUAAGCACCGGCUAACUCCAUGCCAGCCGCCGCCGUAA
rnacentral:rRNA from 1 species